ensembl:lncRNA
AAAAUGUAGAAUUUCAAAGCACGUUGUAUGCGUUCUUAUCAAAGGGACAUGUACUGUAUGCGUGCAGAUCGCUAGGUUACGACCGUGAGUCUCCAUUCUGCAGACCAUUUGAAAGAGGAUUAGGCUAUUCUUCUCUCACUGGGCAGAACUGUAGCCACCUACCGGCGUCAUUCCCUCUUUGCGCUUGUAAAGGCUUUUCUUCCCUAAAUGAAUUUAGAAAAGCCGACUAACAAGAAUAUGACGAGCAAGAAGGGCGCCAUUUUGGACGAAGGGCAAGAUAUCAGAAUGGCACUUCCUUAUGUGCAUUCUUUCAUUUCGGUAGUUGUUAUUGAACCGAAAUGGAUAUAGUGAAUAAGUAAAAGACAACUCUUGCUUCGUGUGGCAAGCAUUUGUGUUUAAAUGACUCCAGGUCCUGGAAAGCAUUCGAAUUUAUUAUUUUUGUGGUGCUUAAUACGUGUGCAGUACACAUCAGUUAGCCCAUGAUAUAUAAUUUCUUUAUUAUUAUUUCUUCCCUCCACUGCAAUAAAUAUUUCGCGCGUAAAGAAAAUACCGGCUUGGAUAUUCCCCUUCAUCUUGGGCUCUCACUGGCAACUGCUGAUUGGCCUAGCGCACAUCAAUCACGACUUAGCCGCACCCCUCCCCCCCAUUCAACCACUAGCUUUAAUGUCCCUGUGUGUUUACUACACUACUUCGUAUAAGGAGACAUUCGCCUUUUACAUGCAGUGAACUCUGCAACAAAGCAGUGCUUUUUAGUAUUAUUUUAACGAAAACCCUUCAGGAAUCCACAAUGCCCAAGAGAAAGGGAGCCGAUGGAGAGACAAAGGAAGAGCCGCAGAGGAGAUCUGCAAGAUUAUCCGCGCCCGCACCUCCAAAACCCGAGCCUAAGGCCAAAAAGACAGCCAAGAAGGACAAGGCAGUAAACGACAAGAAAGAAGACAAAAAGACCAAGGCGAAAGCCAAGGAGAGCACAGAGCCCGAGGCCAACGAGGAGAACCAUGCAGAAAACAACGGAGAGGCCAAGACCAAUGAGGUCGAGGCAGCCCCCGAAGAAACCAAGGAGGAAGCCAAGUCCGAGUAACAGCACUGCCACCUCUCUCCGUUACCUCCCUCUCUUUUUCUCCUCCACUCCCUCUUUCUUCUUCUCUACUUCCUCUCCGUCUUCUCUCCUGCCCAUGCUCAGUCCCAGGAAAAGCCCGAGCCUCCUGUGUGGUUGCCCCGACUCUCCAAGGCGUAUUGAUAACAGAGGAAUAUUUUUAUCGAUGAUUUUAUAAGUAUCAGUACAGAUUUUUAGCACAAACAACAAAAAAAAAAGCUAAGCGUCGGAGCGCACAGCCCGACUUGCCGCUAUCAUAUCAAGAGUCUGCGAGCAAGACAAAACACACACACACACACACACACCCACACAAAAAAAAAUCCUUUUCUGUUAUUUUUUUUCCUUCUUUUUUUAAAACAGCAUUCAUGAUUGUUGAUAGCUUGUCUGGUCUAGGAAGAGUAGCUGCGUGUAAAGAAGAUUAGUGUGUGUUGUCCUCUUAUGUUUGCAAGCCGUCUCCUUUACUGUAACCCCUUAAAAGUUUUAACAUGAGUGAUAUAUCUCUCUUUUUUUUUAAUGACUUUUCAUCUGUGCAGUGGGUUUUUCUGGCUUUUUCGUCUCUUGUCCAGAUUGGGGUUAAUUUUGUUUCAUUUCAGUGUAUUGUCCAUAAAGAAAGAGGAAUAGAACAUUUGACAACAUUCCAAGCAGUGCAACAUGGAACGUUGAGUUAAUGUAACUCUGGAAAAGAAAAGAAAAAAAAUCCCUGCUGAAACAACAACAAAAAGAAAAUAUUUUGUUAAAACAAACGAAACUAAACAAAAGAACCAAUACCAGCUUGUUCUAGGUCUCGCUGUUCAAAACAAUUUUCUAAACAGUAAUUUUUUUUUAGGAUUGAAUUUCAUGCAGGUGACUGUAAACCACUCUGAUGUUCUGGAUGUCUCUUAAUAAAACAAAACCUUGGAAUUUUCCUCA